rnacentral:RNase_P_RNA from 2 species
CGUGCAAGUCGUCUUGCCGUCCCGUACUUGAAAAUUCAAUUUCGAUUGGAUGUAUUAGAGUUGCGGGGAGGAAAGUCCGGGCAACAUAGAGCACCAUACUUCCUAACGGGAAGGGGGCUAACUGGUGACGGUUAGUUUACAGACAGUGCCACAGAAAACAAACCACCUAUUGGUUUUUAACCAGUGGGAAAGGGUGAAAAGGUGGGGUAAGAGCCCACCGCCCCGUCAGUGAUGCCGGGGGCAUGGCAAACCUUAUGGGUUGAAAGAUCAAAUAGGUUCCGCUUUGGAUUAAAUUCCAAAAAAAGUUGCUCGCUUUUAUGCGGAAUGGGUAGAUCGAUGGAUCCCGAUUGUGAAGUCGGGACUAGAUAAAUGGCAGGAGCCCUGAAUUUUUCAGGGAACAGAACCCGGCUUAUAGACUUGCACUUUUU